rnacentral:rRNA from 1 species
UACGGAGGGUGCAAGCGUUAUCCGGAUUUACUGGGUUUAAAGGGUGCGCAGGCGGAUAUGUAAGUCAGUGGUGAAAUCUCCGGGCUUAACCCGGAAACUGCCGUUGAUACUAUAUAUCUUGAAUGCCGUGGAGGUAAGCGGAAUAUGUCAUGUAGCGGUGAAAUGCUUAGAUAUGACAUAGAACACCUAUUGCGAAGGCAGCUUACUACACGGAAAUUGACGCUCAUGCACGAAAGCGUGGGGAUCAAACAGG